rnacentral:lncRNA from 1 species
AUGUACUGCAAAAUGCAAAGAAAAAGAAUGCUAAUGUGGAGAUGGCUGAUGCUCCAUCAUCAAAGAAAGUGCCUCAAACUCGGCUGCUCCCCAAACUUCGUUUACGGGCAACUUAACCUUCACUAUUGAAGAAAGUGACGUGUAUGUGCACUUUGUCUAUACUUGAUAAGUAUGUCAAAUAUUAUUCGUUGUGUAUGAUUGUUACUUGUUUCUCAGCAGAAUUAAUUUCUUCAAAGACGCGGCUGAAGUUGUUGAGGUUCGUUUUGCAAUAAGGGAUGAUCGAUUUGCAGGCUAAGUGCAUGUUGACUUUGUUACUCGUGAGGCUGCCCAAGAGGCUCUUGAAGUUAAUGGUGAACCAUUGCUUGACCAUCCACUAAAACUUGAUUUAGUUAAGUAAAAAGUAAAUACACUCUCGGUACCAGCAAUGAGAGAUCUUUCCAAAAGAGUGCGCAGACUUCAGCACUAACUGCGUUUAUAAGUGGAAUACUCUUGGGAAACUCUUUGGCCAAUGUGAAGAGGUUUCAAGGAUUUUUCUUCCUAAAGAUUUUGAGUCACGUGAGACAAAAAGAUACGGCAUGAGAGUUAGCUGUUGGUUACAAGUUUACUCCCCACCAUGACAACAGCAAGGGGCAUGAGAAUUAGCCGUUGGUUGCAAGUUUACUCCUCACCGUGACAACAAGGUGGCCAGUUACAAAUUUGCAGCAUUUAAAUGCAGUGAGUGUAUGGACUUGAUGAAAACAACCUAGAAAUAGUUUUUAGUUUAUGUAUAGUGGUUUCUCUUUGUAACUUUUGUGGAUCGGUUUUGAUGAUUAGUUUAUGUUUUUAAUUAGUAUUUAAACCGAAAACUUACGUAUGCUUUUUGGGUUAUUAUUGUUUAUAUCAUUUGUCUUUUAGUUUCUC